rnacentral:misc_RNA from 1 species
UCACCGCUUGCGCGGGCAGUCUCUCUAGAGUCCCCACCAUAACGUGCUGGCAACUAAAGAUAGGGGUUGCGCUCGUUGCGGGACUUAACCCAACAUCUCACGACACGAGCUGACGACGGCCAUGCAGCACCUAGUUUCAGGUCAUUGCUGACUGUCAUAUUUCUACAACAUUCCUUAACUUUCAAGCCCUGGUAAGGUUCCGCGCGUAUCAUCGAAUUAAACCACAUGCUCCUCCGCUUGUGCGGGCCCCCGUCAAUUCCUUUGAGUUUCAGCCUUGCGGCCGUACUCCCCAGGUGGAUCACUUAAUGCUUUCGCUCGGACGCGUGCAGUGUAUCGCACACAUCGAGUGAUCAUCGUUUAGGGCGUGGACUAC